UGAUGCUACCAAAAAUCGUACCUGUAGAUUUCCCGAGCUUGAUGACUGGUGAGGAGCACGAACGUGAUCUUCCGAUACCUGAAACAAAGGCAACGAGGUGUGUUCUCGUCGCCCCUCCGAUGCUUAAGUCAGAAAGGGAAAUAUAUGCGUGAGGCUAUAUGCUGAAGAACAAUGAGAAAACGUACCUGAAUAAUGGCCCAAGGUUCUGCUUUUAUAGGAGUAGGUAGUGUACUCCUAGUAGGAUUGUGUUGGUUGGAUGUUUUUAUCCAAGGGAAUUUCUAUUAUAAAGAAUGUCCUACUUGUAAUGGAAUUGUUUGACAAGUGGUGUUAGGGUUGAUGUAGAAUCCUUGGGUGUUUAGGUUUGUUAGUUAGGUACCCAGGUCUUAGGAGGUAUGUUGGUGGUGUAUGUCUCGAGGACUAUUCUCGAGGACAUUGAGGGAAUGUAAAAGUGUCCUCGAGGACUACAAUAUCUCGAGGACUUAGAUGACCUCGAGGACCGAAGAAGAGAAAUGAGGUGGGGGUAUGUAUUGAGUCCUCGGGAAUAAAU
rnacentral:lncRNA from 1 species